rnacentral:rRNA from 1 species
CAAGGCCUUGGUCCUGAGCCUUACAUUCCCUGCUUGGUAGGCACAUACAUGCAAGUCUCCGCCCUCCUGUGAGUGAGCCAUCGCACCACCUAAACAGCUGCGCUGAGCCGGUAUCAGGCACGCCAGUUGCAGCUGCCCAUGACACCCAGCCAACCGCCACAUCCCCACGGACUACAGCAGUAAUAAACAUUGAGCAAUAAAUGAAAAUUUGACUCAGCAAUACUAUAAACUAAGCCGGCUAAUUUCGUGCCAGCCGCCGCGGUUACACGAAAAGGCUACAGAUAAUGUAAUCCGGCGUAAAUAGUGACUAGAUAACACCACUAAGACAAAGAGGAAGGCCAUACUGGGCAGUGAAAUGCACCGGCUACGCAAACAACAAACUCUUUGCCAAGGUUAAUACAUUGACCACACGAAAACCGGGGCACAAACUAGGAUUAGAUACCCUACUAUGCCAGGUCGUAAACAUUGACACUAACCAAAACAAAGUGUCCGCCAGAGAACUACAAGCGAAAAGCUUAAAACUCAAAGGACUUGGCGGUGCCCCACCCAACCUAGAGGAGCCUGUCCAAUAACCCGAUGCCACCCGAUAUACCCAACCGCCUAUUGCACAAACAGCCUAUAUACCGCCGUCUCCAGCCCACCCUAUGAAGGCCAACCAGUGGACAAAAUCGUCACACCACAAACACGACAGGUCGAGGUGUAGCUAACGAGGCGGAAAAGAUGGGCUACAUUCUCCACCAAGGAGCACACGGAUAACAAAAUGAAACUUUUGUUCGAAGGAGGAUUUAGAAGUAAAAUAAUAAAGACUGCUUAUUUUAAUACUGCUCUGGGGCACGUACACACCGCCCGUCACCCUCUUCGACAGGCACAGACCAAUAAAUAAAACAAGAUAGCACCAAAGAAGAGACAAGUCGUAACAUGGUAAGUGUACUGGAAAGUGCACUUGGCUCAA